rnacentral:rRNA from 1 species
AACGAACGCUGGCGGCGUGCCUAACACAUGCAAGUCGCGCGAGAAAAAGGGGGCGAACUCCUGAGUAAAGACGGCGAACGGGUGAGUAACACGUAGGUGAUCUACCCUCCGAGUCCAGGAUAACCUACCCGAAAGGUGGGCUAAUACCGGAUAUGACCACGGGAAGUCUCGGUUCCUGCGGUGAAAGGUGGCCUCUGCUUGCAAGCUACCGCUCGGAGAUGAGCCUGCGCGCCAUUAGCUAGUUGGUGGGGUAACGGCCCACCAAGGCUAUGAUGGCUAGCUGGUCUGAGAGGAUGGCCAGCCACACUGGGACUGAAACACGGCCCAGACUCCUACGGGAGGCAGCAGUGGGGGAUAUUGCGCAAUGGGCGAAAGCCUGACGCAGCGACGCCGCGUGGGUGA